CGCCAGAUAGCUCAGUUGGUAGAGCACCUGACUAGAGAUUCAGGGGCCCCGGGUUCGAAUCCCGGUCUGGUCC
rfam:Crassostrea gigas strain 05x7-T-G4-1.051#20 contig6423, whole genome shotgun sequence.